rnacentral:rRNA from 1 species
GCAGUCGAGCGGACAGAUGGGAGCUUGCUCCCUGAUGUUAGCGGCGGACGGGUGAGUAACACGUGGGUAACCUGCCUGUAAGACUGGGAUAACUCCGGGAAACCGGGGCUAAUACCGGAUGCUUGUUUGAACCGCAUGGUUCAAACAUAAAAGGUGGCUUCGGCUACCACUUACAGAUGGACCCGCGGCGCAUUAGCUAGUUGGUGAGGUAAUGGCUCACCAAGGCAACGAUGCGUAGCCGACCUGAGAGGGUGAUCGGCCACACUGGGACUGAGACACGGCCCAGACUCCUACGGGAGGCAGCAGUAGGGAAUCUUCCGCAAUGGACGAAAGUCUGACGGAGCAACGCCGCGUGAGUGAUGAAGGUUUUCGGAUCGUAAAGCUCUGUUGUUAGGGAAGAACAAGUACCGUUCGAAUAGGGCGGUACCUUGACGGUACCUAACCAGAAAGCCACGGCUAACUACGUGCCAGCAGCCGCGGUAAUACGUAGGUGGCAAGCGUUGUCCGGAAUUAUUGGGCGUAAAGGGCUCGCAGGCGGUUCCUUAAGUCUGAUGUGAAAGCCCCCGGCUCAACCGGGGAGGGUCAUUGGAAACUGGGGAACUUGAGUGCAGAAGAGGAGAGUGGAAUUCCACGUGUAGCGGUGAAAUGCGUAGAGAUGUGGAGGAACACCAGUGGCGAAGGCGACUCUCUGGUCUGUAACUGACGCUGAGGAGCGAAAGCGUGGG